AGAGGGUGCUAGCGUUGUUCGGAAUUAUUGGGCGUAAAGCGCGUGUAGGCGGCUUGCUAAGUCUGGUGUGAAAACUCGGUGGCUCAACCCCGAGCCUGCACUGGAAACUGACUUGCUAGAGUCCGGAAGAGGGGAUUGGAAUUCCUGGUGUAGCGGUGAAAUGCGUAGAUAUCAGGAGGAACACCGGUGGCGAAGGCGGCUUCCUGGACCAAUACUGACGCUGAGGCGCGAAGGCGUGGGGAGCAAACAGGAUUAGAUACCCUGGUAGUCCACGCAGUAAACGGUGAACACUAGGUGUAGCGGGUAUUGACCCCUGCUGUGCCGAAGCUAACGCAUUAAGUGUUCCGCCUGGGAAGUACGGCCGCAAGGUUG
rnacentral:rRNA from 1 species